AGCCUAAACUCUACAAUUACUGUAGAGCAUGGCACAAAAUCGUUGGACAUAUUAACCCCGUCAUGGGCGUGUCCAACGUUACAAGUCGAAAGGCUUGUAUGCCGCAAGGCA
rnacentral:sRNA from 12 species